UACAGAGGUCCCAAGCGUUGUUCGGAUUCAUUGGGCGUAAAGGGUGCGUAGGCGGCGCGGUAAGUCGGGUGUGAAAUCUCGGAGCUUAACUCCGAAACUGCAUUCGAUACUGCCGUGCUUGAGGACUGGAGAGGAGACUGGAAUUUACGGUGUAGCGGUGAAAUGCGUAGAUAUCAUGAGGAAGACCAGUGGCGAAGGCGGGUCUCUGGACAGUUCCUGACACUGAGACACGAAGGCCAGGGGAGCAAACGGG
rnacentral:rRNA from 1 species